AGAGGAGACCGGUGGAUUCUUCACUGGAGAAACGGAGCAGAAAAAAGAUUUUUAGAUAUUGAAAGGGAUAUCUGACAAACUGGAGAGAAGAGAUUCACAGAAUAAUAGAAUAAAAUUAAGUUCCCAGAGUGAAAAGGCCUACAAAAGGAAGUUACUAAAGGAUGUGUGCCAUCAAAAUGAAGAAUGAAAUCAAGGAAGAUAAAGAUGUGGGGCCAGGAAAAGAAGAUCCACCCAGAAAAAUUACAAAAGGAAUCCCCUGAACACUGCUGUGCAGAAGGCCCAGAGGGUAUAUCAGAGAGUGGGGACGUAGCAGAGGAGUGCUAUGGAGCAGGAAUCAGAUUAAAGAGCCCUGAUCAAGUGGACUUACCAGCUUUCCUUGGAUCAAAGCCUGAAGGGUGAUGAGGAAGCUAGUAUGGCCAGUAUGAAGACUGAAUUGUGGAUGUCAGAAACUAAUCAUGGAAUAUUUCAGCUUUUUCCAGGGUGGCUGCAAGAUAUAAAGGAAUGGCUGUGUGUUUUCUUAUUUUAAAAAAUGAGUAAUACUGAACAUUGUAAAACAGACAAACAAUACAGAUGUAUAUAAAAUAAAAA